UGAGGAAUAUUGCACAAUGGGCGCAAGCCUGAUGCAGCGACGCCGCGUGGGUGACGAAGGUCUUCGGAUCGUAAAGCCCUUUUCUGCGUGACGAGCAAGGACGGUAGCGCAGGAAUAAGUCUCGGCUAACUACGUGCCAGCAGCCGCGGUAAAACGUAGGAGACGAACGUUAUCCGGAGUUACUGGGCGUAAAGGGCGUGCAGGCGGCAGCUUAAGUCUGUUGUGAAACACUCCGGCUCAACCGGGGAAGGGCGAUAGAUACUGAGCAGCUCGAGGGCGGUAGAGGCGUGUGGAAUUCCGGGUGUAGUGGUGAAAUGCGUAGAUAUCCGGAGGAACACCAGUGGCGAAGGCGACACGCUGGGCCGCACCUGACGCUAAGACGCGACAGCAUGGGGAGCGAACGGGAUUAGAAACCCCGGUAGUCCAUGCCGUAAACGAUGCCAACUAGGUGUUCGCACCGCGCAAGCGGU
rnacentral:rRNA from 1 species